UAAGGUCUAUAUAUCAACUUUGGGGUCAU
rnacentral:piRNA from 1 species